rnacentral:rRNA from 1 species
GGGUUGUGAGGUUAAGCGACUAAGCGUACACGGUGGAUGCCCUGGCAGUCAGAGGCGAUGAAGGGCGUGCUAAUCUGCGAUAAGCGCCGGUAAGGUGAUAUGAACCGUUAUAACCGGCGAUACCCGAAUGGGGAAACCCAGUGUGAUUCGUCACACUAUCAUUAACUGAAUCCAUAGGUUAAUGAGGCGAACCGGGGGAACUGAAACAUCUAAGUACCCCGAGGAAAAGAAAUCAACCGAGAUUCCCCCAGUAGCGGCGAGCGAACGGGGAGGAGCCCAGAGCCUGAAUCAGCAUGUGUGUUAGUGGAAGCGUCUGGAAAGGCGCGCGAUACAGGGUGACAGCCCCGUACACAAAAGCGCAUGUGCUGUGAGCUCGAUGAGUAGGGCGGGACACGUGGUAUCCUGUCUGAAUAUGGGGGGACCAUCCUCCAAGGCUAAAUACUCCUGACUGACCGAUAGUGAACCAGUACCGUGAGGGAAAGGCGAAAAGAACCCCGGCGAGGGGAGUGAAAAAGAACCUGAAACCGUGUACGUACAAGCAGUGGGAGCCCCACCACUAAGCCAGUGGUGAACUCCACAUCCGCAUCCUUUGCUGAGGAUACGGUUAACGGAGCGAAAGCGACGUUCAACCGCAAAACAAGCAGAGGGGGCUUAGUGGUGGGGUGACUGCGUACCUUUUGUAUAAUGGGUCAGCGACUUAUAUUCUGUAGCAAGGUUAACCGAAUAGGGGAGCCGGAGGGAAACCGAGUCUUAAUUGGGCGUUAAGUUGCAGGGUAUAGACCCGAAACCCGGUGAUCUAGCCAUGGGCAGGUUGAAGGUUGGGUAACACUAACUGGAGGACCGAACCGACUAAUGUUGAAAAAUUAGCGGAUGACCUGUGGCUGGGGGUGAAAGGCCAAUCAAACCGGGAGAUAGCUGGUUCUCCCCGAAAGCUAUUUAGGUAGCGCCUCGUGAAUUCAUCUCCGGGGGUAGAGCACUGUUUCGGCUAGGGGGCCAUCCCGGCUUACCAACCCGAUGCAAACUGCGAAUACCGGAGAAUGUUAUCACGGGAGACACACGGCGGGUGCUAACGUCCGUCGUGAAGAGGGAAACAACCCAGACCGCCAGCUAAGGUCCCAAAGUCAUGGUUAAGUGGGAAACGAUGUGGGAAGGCCCAGACAGCCAGGAUGUUGGCUUAGAAGCAGCCAUCAUUUAAAGAAAGCGUAAUAGCUCACUGGUCGAGUCGGCCUGCGCGGAAGAUGUAACGGGGCUAAACCAUGCACCGAAGCUGCGGCAGCGAACGUAUCACCCAAGACAACUUUACGGAGUUGACGAUUGACGGAGCGAAGCGACGUCAAAGCGUUCAUUAAAGUCGAGUUGGCUUAGGGGUACGUUCGUUGGGUAGGGGAGCGUUCUGUAAGCCUGUGAAGGUGUGUCGUGAGGCAUGCUGGAGGUAUCAGAAGUGCGAAUGCUGACAUAAGUAACGAUAAAGCGGGUGAAAAGCCCGCUCGCCGGAAGACCAAGGGUUCCUGUCCAACGUUAAUCGGGGCAGGGUGAGUCGACCCCUAAGGCGAGGCCGAAAGGCGUAGUCGAUGGGAAACGGGUUAAUAUUCCCGUACUUGGUGUUACUGCGAAGGGGGGACGGAGAAGGCUAUGUUGGCCGGGCGACGGUUGUCCCGGUUUAAGCGUGUAGGUGUGUGUUCCAGGUAAAUCCGGUUCACUUUAACACUGAGGCGUGACGACGAGGCACUACGGUGCUGAAGCAACAAAUGCCCUGCUUCCAGGAAAAGCCUCUAAGCAUCAGGUAACAUCAAAUCGUACCCCAAACCGACACAGGUGGUCAGGUAGAGAAUACCAAGGCGCUUGAGAGAACUCGGGUGAAGGAACUAGGCAAAAUGGUGCCGUAACUUCGGGAGAAGGCACGCUGACACGUAGGUGAAGUGAUUUACUCAUGGAGCUGAAGUCAGUCGAAGAUACCAGCUGGCUGCAACUGUUUAUUAAAAACACAGCACUGUGCAAACACGAAAGUGGACGUAUACGGUGUGACGCCUGCCCGGUGCCGGAAGGUUAAUUGAUGGGGUCAGCGCAAGCGAAGCUCCUGAUCGAAGCCCCGGUAAACGGCGGCCGUAACUAUAACGGUCCUAAGGUAGCGAAAUUCCUUGUCGGGUAAGUUCCGACCUGCACGAAUGGCGUAAUGAUGGCCAGGCUGUCUCCACCCGAGACUCAGUGAAAUUGAACUCGCUGUGAAGAUGCAGUGUACCCGCGGCAAGACGGAAAGACCCCGUGAACCUUUACUAUAGCUUGACACUGAACAUUGAGCCUUGAUGUGUAGGAUAGGUGGGAGGCUUUGAAGUGUGGACGCCAGUCUGCAUGGAGCCGACCUUGAAAUACCACCCUUUAAUGUUUGAUGUUCUAACGUGGACCCGUAAUCCGGGUUGCGGACAGUGUCUGGUGGGUAGUUUGACUGGGGCGGUCUCCUCCUAAAGAGUAACGGAGGAGCACGAAGGUUGGCUAAUCCUGGUCGGACAUCAGGAGGUUAGUGCAAUGGCAUAAGCCAGCUUGACUGCGAGCGUGACGGCGCGAGCAGGUGCGAAAGCAGGUCAUAGUGAUCCGGUGGUUCUGAAUGGAAGGGCCAUCGCUCAACGGAUAAAAGGUACUCCGGGGAUAACAGGCUGAUACCGCCCAAGAGUUCAUAUCGACGGCGGUGUUUGGCACCUCGAUGUCGGCUCAUCACAUCCUGGGGCUGAAGUAGGUCCCAAGGGUAUGGCUGUUCGCCAUUUAAAGUGGUACGCGAGCUGGGUUUAGAACGUCGUGAGACAGUUCGGUCCCUAUCUGCCGUGGGCGCUGGAGAACUGAGGGGGGCUGCUCCUAGUACGAGAGGACCGGAGUGGACGCAUCACUGGUGUUCGGGUUGUCAUGCCAAUGGCACUGCCCGGUAGCUAAAUGCGGAAGAGAUAAGUGCUGAAAGCAUCUAAGCACGAAACUUGCCCCGAGAUGAGUUCUCCCUGAGACUUAGAGUCUCCUGAAGGAACGUUGAAGACGACGACGUUGAUAGGCCGGGUGUGUAAGCGCAGCGAUGCGUUGAGCUAACCGGUACUAAUGAACCGUGAGGCUUAACCUUACAACGCCGAAG